UAUAUAUUUUUUCUUUUUUCUGUUUCCGGUUUGUGUUUAACACCUCUCUCCUCCAAUUUCUCCGAUCAUCCCUCACAGUGAUUCCUUGUCUUCCUCCCUUCCCUCUCGUCUAUUCAUCACCUCAUCAUCUCUCUUUUGUUCUGGCUCUAUCUCAACCAUCAGUUAGCCAGACUAGGCACAAGCAUACCAUCUUUCUACCACAACGUAUGAUCAAUCUU
rnacentral:lncRNA from 1 species